AUAAAAUUUUAUUUCUUCAUUUAAUUAAAAAUAUUUAUAUAUUUAAGUACAGCAAUGGAAAAAUAUAUAGUUAAAGUAGAUACACGUACCUUUAGUAUAAUGGAUUUACAAGAAAUAAUAUAAUUAUUAUUUUCGAAAUCUAAAUGAGUUGUUUAUUUAUUGUUUAGAACUAAUAUUUAAGAGUUUAAAUUCUUUAUAAAAAUAAAUUUACAGAAGCUAUAAACUUAUCGCAUUAGAUUUUAACUAAUUUAAAUAAUAUUAAUAAUAUGUAAUUACAUAUUUUAAUAAUAGAUUUAUCAAUUAAAUAAUUUAUAUAAAUUAUUUUAUUUUAUAGGAUUAGCUAUAACUUUUAUUCAAUUUAUUUUUGCAGGUAUAAUUGUAGGCUUAAAAACAGCUAACUAAAAUUACUUUAUAGUAUCACAGGAAAAAAAAAUUAAAUUAAUUUUUUAUAAUGAUUAAUAGAUUAAUUAUUUAUGAUUAUUAAUUUUAAUAUGUAAAUAUGAGUAAUUAAUAAAAUUAUAUAAAGGAACUCGGCAAAUAUAGAAUUCGACUGUUUAACAAAAACAUUGUUAUUUGAUUUAUCAUAUAAAUAAUAAGCCCUGCUCAAUGAAACGUUAAAUUGCUGCAGUAUUAUAACUGUACUAAGGUAGCAUAAUAACUUGUUUAUUAAUUGUAAGCUGGAAUGAAAGGGUACACGAAAUUCUACCUGUCUCUAUUAUCUUUUAUUAAAUUUAUCCUUUAGGUGAAGAGACCUAAAUAUAAUUAUAAGACAAGAAGACCCUAAAAGCUUUUUUAAGCAGGUAAUUAUAUUACUAAAUUAAUUUGAUUGGGGUGAUCGUUUAUAUUUAAACAUUUUUGUUUUUUAUGAUAAAUAAAUCUAUUAAAGAUCCUUUUAUGAUCAGUAAUUAAGUUACUUUAGGGGUAACAGGCUAAUAUAAAAUUAAAGACCAUAUUAAAUUUUAUGAUUGGCACCUCGAUGUUGACUUAGAAUAACUGUUUAGUGCAAUCAAUAAAUAAGUUGGUUUGUUCAACCAUUAAAUUUCUACAUGAGUUGAGUUCAGACCGGCGUAAGCCAGGUUAGAUUCUAUCUAUAAUUUAUAUAUAAUUAUUAGUAGUACGAGAGGACCCUAAUUUUACUAUUAUAGUACUAAAAUUUAUAAUUU
rnacentral:rRNA from 1 species